AUGGCGACCGGCGCACGGGUGAGUAACGCGUAUGCAACCUGCCCGAUACCGGGGUAUAGCCCAUGGAAACGUGGAUUAACACCCCAUAGUACUUUUAUCCUGCAUGGGAUGUGAGUUAAAUGUUCAAGGUAUCGGAUGGGCAUGCGUCCUAUUAGUUAGUUGGCGGGGUAACAGCCCACCAAGACGGUGAUAGGUAGGGGUUCUGAGAGGAAGGUCCCCCACAUUGGAACUGAGACACGGUCCAA
rnacentral:rRNA from 1 species